rnacentral:misc_RNA from 1 species
CCAGAAAAGAGUGUGAAGCUUCUUGGUUUUACUAAUGCUUCAAACAUAUUGCGACACUAUUACAUGAAAGAUGUCAACAUCUUUAUAGCUGAACCUGGCAAUGCGAGGGCUGCAAUUGCUGUUUCUGCCUUAGCAAGAGCAAUGAAGGAAUUGAAUAAGGUUGCAAUUGUGCGAUGUGUUUGGAGACAAGGACAGGGAAGUGUUGUUUUGGGGGUUUUGACACCCAACCUAUCUGAGAA